AUACGGAGGGUGCAAGCGUUAAUCGGAAUUACUGGGCGUAAAGGGCGCGUAGGCGGUCUAUCAAGUCAGUUGUGAAAUCCCACGGCUCAACCGUGGAGGUGCAUCUGAAACUGAUAGACUUGAGUAUGGGGGAGGAAAGUGGAAUUCCCGGUGUAGAGGUGAAAUUCGUAGAUAUCGGGAGGAACACCAGUGGCGAAGGCGACUUUCUGGACCAAUACUGACGCUGAGGCGCGAAAGCGUGGGGAGCAAACAGGAUUAGAUACCCUAGUAGUCC
rnacentral:rRNA from 1 species